rnacentral:rRNA from 1 species
UACAGAGGUCCCAAGCGUUGUUCGGAUUCACUGGGCGUAAAGGGUGCGUAGGCGGUCGGGUAAGUCUGAUGUGAAAUCUCACAGCUUAACUGUGAAACUGCAUUGGAUACUAUCCGGCUAGAGGAAUGGAGGGGAGACUGGAAUACUUGGUGUAGCAGUGAAAUGCGUAGAUAUCAAGUGGAACACCAGUGGCGAAGGCGAGUCUCUGGACAUUUCCUGACGCUGAGGCACGAAAGCCAGGGGAGCAAACAGG